rnacentral:rRNA from 1 species
AUUGAACGCUGGCGGCAGGCCUAACACAUGCAAGUCGAGCGGAGCGGCGGACGGGUGAGUAAUGCCUAGGAAUCUGCCUGGUAGUGGGGGAUAACGUCCGGAAACGGGCGCUAAUACCGCAUACUAUCAGAUGAGCCUAGGUCGGAUUAGCUAGUUGGUGAGGUAACGGCUCACCAAGGCCACGAUGCAUAGCCGACCUGAGAGGGUGAUCGGCCACACUGGGACUGAGACACGGCCCAGACUCCUACGGGAGGCAGCAGUGGGGAAUUUUGGACAAUGGGGGAAACCCUGAUCCAGCCAUCCCGCGUGUAUGAUGAAGGCCUUCGGGUUGUAAAGUACUUUUGGCAGAGAAGCGGUAUCUGCAGAAUAAGCACCGGCUAACUACGUGCCAGCAGCCGCGGUAAUAC